rnacentral:misc_RNA from 1 species
AUUCCGUUGGGCAUUGUGAAAGGUCAGGUUAGUUGCGAGCGAUCGACGCGAGUACUUUGAAGAUCACGUGUUCAGUGUGAAGUUACAUGUAUAUGAAUUGUUCGUGUUAGAUCUGAAUGCGCGUCCCUCUGUGUUUUGCGACAAGUACGUUCUCGAAAAGAAGAAUCCUGAAUCUGGAAACAAUCCAAUUGAAGUUAAUACCAUUGCAUGUAACAAGUCGACCGAGCGGUUUCACAGUAGUUCAACUCGGCGUAUAGCACGACGUACAAAGCCAGUCACCGUGUUUCAAACGCCGCAUAUCUUCGAGUGGCAUUUACGCAUUGGUUGUAUUUAUUCUCAAUUAGUGACGUCCUUGACCACGUUUUUGUGUAAACGUCCCACAAAGCGUCACGGCGUGGCUGUAGUAAUACACACGGACAAUACAAUUUAAAUAAACAUCGCUAAUCAGUUGGUGUAUCAGUGUAAUGUCGUGUAACGAAGUGUAAACAACAAGUUUGCGAAACAUCGACUGCCUUCGAUGAAUUUGUACACCGGUAACUGGAUUACAACGAAACAUGUUUGUGUUUCGUUGAAGAAAUUAAAUUAUCACGGGAGAAACUCAUCUACGAAUUAGUGAACCAUUCAACCCAUUGGUGAUUUCGACGGAUUGAAUACUCGUCGCUCCAGAGUUUACGUUGUAAACCGAAACAAUCGUUAGCAUUCAAGGGCACAAUAAUACGGGUCUCUCCCAGAUUCGAAUUUUCCGCCGACUGUUUCUACGCUGAUGUGCCGCUAUGGUAUAAAUUCCAGCGACUGUCUGCGAUGUUUGUCAGAGUGCGUAUUACUGUGGUCGCGAACAAGUGUGGAAGUGCUCUGACCCAAUCACCAGUUAUGGACUCCAAUACAAAUCCUCCGGAGUACGUGAUACUUACGAUCUUCAUUUUGACUUAAUUAACGGUUUAUGUCGUCAACAACAAUGCAGAAAGUCGCAUAAAAGUCACUAAUUUCGUCAAGUUUCGCCGCUUCUCCACCGAAAAAAAAAUGUAAAUUAAAUGAAAUACGUCGUGAACAUCGAAAAACCUAAGAACUUACCAACUUACCAACUUACCAACCUUGGCCGUUCGCCGCUUCUCAAGCGGGAUCGAGAAUCAUUGAGUUACUAUUUGGAGGUACAUACUUGAAUAAUACGAGCUGCGUCGUAAAAUAUGACGAACUGGUUUAGCAGUAUCAUUAGCGAAACGGAGUCGGAAAUGAAUCCUACAACGUUUUGGAUGCUUGCCGAGUCGGAUGAUCUCGGAGGAUUGGGUGGACUAUCGACCCUGAAAGACGUUCUUCGAGCUCGAAGAUGGACACGGUAAAUGGACACGG